UGCCUGCAUAUUGUUUCUAUGUGGCCUUGA
rnacentral:piRNA from 1 species